rnacentral:tRNA from 1 species
GUAGAUAUAGUUUAAUAAAAAUAUUAGAUUGUGAUUCUAAAGACAGGAGAUAAAACCUUCUUACCUACC